GUGCUCGCUUCAGCAGCACAUAUUCUAAAAUUGGAACGCUACAGAGAAGAUUAGCAUGGCCCCUGCGCAAGGAUGACACUCAAAGAAAUAAAACCUUAAAAGAAAAA
ensembl:snRNA U6 U6 spliceosomal RNA